GCUACCAUGCAGUCGAACGGUAACAGGAAGUAGCUUGCUACUUUGCUGACGAGAGGAGCACGGGUGAGUAAUAUAUAGGUAAUGUGCCCCUUGGACCGGGAUAGCCACUGGAAACGGUGAUUAAUACUGGAUACUCCUUCUAACUCUAAUGUUAGUCGGGAAAUGGAUUCCGCCAAGGGAUCGGCCUAUAUCCUAUCAGCUUGUUGGUAGUGUAAGAGACUACCAAGGCAAUGACGGGUAGCGGGUUUGAGAGGAUGAUCCGCCACACUGGUACUGAGACACGGACCAGACUCCUACGGGAGGCAGCAGUGAGGAAUAUUGCACAAUGGGGGAAACCCUGAUGCAGCAACGCCGCGUGGAGGAUGACGCAUUUCGGUGUGUAAACUCUUUUUAUAUGUCAAGAAAAUGACGGUAGCAUAUGAAUAAGCACCGGCUAACUCCGUGCCAGCAGCCGCGGUAAUACGGAGGGUGCAAGCGUUAUUCGGAAUCACUGGGCGUAAAGGACGUGUAGGCGGGUUGGUAAGUCAGAUGUGAAAUCCUACAGCUUAACUGUAGAACUGCAUUUGAAACUACUAACCUAGAGUAUGGGAGGGGGAGAUGGAAUUAGUGGUGUAGGGGUAAAAUCCGUAGAUAUCACUAGGAAUACCGAAA
rnacentral:rRNA from 1 species